GUAGCAGAGGUGUUGUGGUGAGCUGUACUCUCAGGACAUUUAACCAAAUGAAGGUCUCCUCCACAGCUUUGACCUCUUGAUGGAGUCUUUGGAGACACUUUCCUUACAUUUUGAAUAGCAGAGAUGUUCUCUUCUUCCUUCU